UACGUAGGGUGCGAGCGUUAAUCGGAAUUACUGGGCGUAAAGCGUGCGCAGGCGGUUCGUUAUGUCCGAUGUGAAAGCCCCGAGCUUAACUUGGGAAUGGCAUUGGAAACUGGCGGGCUGGAGUGCGGCAGAGGGGGGUGGAAUUCCACGUGUAGCAGUGAAAUGCGUAGAGAUGUGGAGGAACACCGAUGGCGAAGGCAGCCCCCUGGGCUGAGAUUGACGCUCAGGCACGAAAGCGUGGGGAGCAAACAGG
rnacentral:rRNA from 1 species